UAGGGUUUUCGCCUCAUGUUCUUCCUGUUCCUGCCCGGAAGUGAGGGGUUUAUCCGAACUAAGCUGGCGGGAAGACUGAAGGACCCGCUGUCCCGACGCUUUAGGGGCCGUAGCCCCGGCCCAGGGAAGAGCAGCACUGAGGCACCGGCGCGGCCAAAAGCUCUUCGGAGGAACCAGUGUGCAUGCUGAAGGAGCAGCCAUGAGUUUUGGGGGCUCAUCCAGGAUUCGAGGUCCACCUGAGUGCGUAUUUUCGAGGAGGGGAGCCACAUCCCACGGCCCUGAAUUGAGAGGUCCGUGCCUGUGAACUUCAAACUCGUGGAGGGUUCUCGACAGUGCAGGAGGACAGUCUGAGGAAAACAGCAACCGCAGCGACCAGGCAACUCCAGGCACAGACCAGGGCAAAAGGGAUUACUAGCCCAGACUCCACCACUUGAUUUCCCAGUCCAUCCACAUCAGUCUGGAGACUAUGUGUUAAUCAAAUCAUGGAAAGAAGACAAACUCCAACAAACCUGAAAGGGACCUUUCCUCAUGUUGCUGACCACCAAAACUGCAGUUCAAAUGGCCGAGUGAGGAUGGACUCACCACACCCAGUUGGGCCUGAAGGAGGGGUGCAGGGAAGAAUGAGGACGUGACGGGAUGGUUCUGCAAGUCAUGGAAGUCUUCCCAGAGACAGUACAUUAAGCUGUUCCUUGAAGAACAAGCGGGACUUAACUAGGUAAGGACGAGGUGUACACUCCAGGUGCAGAGUUGGGGAGGAAAUAGGGCACUCACUCCCAGAUCUCUCCCCGCCAUCCAUGUCCCUACACCAGCCUGGCCCAAGCCUUCAACUUCUGCCUGGAUUGUAACAGGCUCUCAGGUUUUCUCCCACAUUGACCUAUGGCCUUCAGUUCGUUCUCAGCAAAAAUCAAAUCUAAGCAUGUCUGUCACACACUUGUCAGUCUUCCCUUGAUACUAGGGUAAGGGCAAAAGCCUUGACAGACCUGCAAGAGCCCUACCUUGUCUGGGCUCUUCCAGCUCUGCAGCCCCAUGUCUUACACUCUGUACUAUAUUCUGUGCAUUCCCUCCAGGUCCUCAAGCCCCAGCCUGCCCCAGGGCCUUGGCAAGUACCAUGCCACUUUCUCAGGGAAAAUUUCUCCUUAACAUUCCUAUCCUGUGCUCUCCAGCACAUCCCAUCAGGGGACCAUGUCCCUUUGGCUCACAGAGUCUGCUUGUGAUGGUUGAUCUGUGAAGCUGUUAAUCUUGUGGCUGCUGGUCCUCCCAUGGGAGCCAUCUCUGCUCAGUGUUUCCUUAGUGCCUACAAGAGCCCAACACAAGUAUUCCACCCCACAGCUCUGUUCUGGGACCUUGAUGUUUGUGGCCUCAGUAUUAUGUAAAAUGUAACCAAUACUAGCCAUGCAAACUAGCUCUCAGAAGCAAAUCUAUUAUUUAGUGGAUUAAAAAGCACUUGAUAAAGGAGUUCCUGUUGUGGUAAUGAACCUGACUAGGAUCCAUGAGGA